rnacentral:lncRNA from 1 species
UACCUGUCCAUUCCAAGGAUUCGGUCCAGCAGAAGCGUGAGGAGGUGGCGGAGGCCCCGAGGGCUUUGCGUCAUCACUUCUGCGGCCUGCGGGCGAGAAGGUGCGCUUCGGGAGUAGCGCGGGAGGACAGGAGGCGCAGGUUGUGAGGGACGCAGGCCCUGGGGCUUCGGUCUCUGUCCUCCGAGCUCAGAGCCUCCAGGCUUCUUCCCGGCCGCGCGCUCAGCACUCACUGUCUUACGGUCCCGAAGCGCUUUAAGGUGCGCAGUCCGCAGGCCUUGCCUACUGAUCUUCCAGCCACCCCUUGAAGGAAGCAGUUGCAGACGCUGAGCACAGUGCCAAACCUAUAUAGAAACUCAUUUGGGAUAUGGAGGAGAAUAUGCCACCAGUUCUCCAAAGUGGAGGGUUCUUCCCAGCAGGAAACCUCUCAACUCUGGCUGGCUGACCUGCUGCCCUAGCCUCCCCCCUCCUCUCGCAGCUGUUGGGCCAAAAGACACAAAGAACGAGCCCAGUCCUCCUCGUCCCCACUCCUUGUGACCAGGGGAUAUGGACCUAAUGAAUCAUCAUUUUCAGUAUGGCUACCCUGCCUUUUUCCUCCACCCUUUCCCCCCAUUCUCCCUCAGACCUGGCUAAUUAAAAGGAAGGGAAACAGAAUGCAUAAUGUGGGUAACUAUACUGUAAUAACAGUUAACACAAAGUGUUUCCAUUUGCCAAGCACUGUUCUAAGUACUUUUUAUGUAAUCACUCUUUUAAUCACAACACAGUAUGAGGCGAGCACUAUGGAAAACUGAGGCACAGAGACAUUAAGUGACUUGUCCAGGAUCACAGAGCUAGUAGGAGACAGGGCUGGGAUCUGAACCCAGCUUCAGUCCUCCUAACUAGUAUCCUACUCUCCCUUUGACCAGUACAGCCUUUCGAGGGGUAGACAUCAUUUCCCCAGAGCCCACUGGGAAGGUCUGAGGAAUGUGGGGUAAGAAGGUUAUGGAACACACCUGUGACCUCAUGCACACACACAGUCAGGGCUCAAAUAUCCUUCCAGACCCAGGAGCAAAUGUGAAUCGCAUGUCCAUUAACUAAGAGGGUUAGGGACCCAUGGGGGAUAGGAAUGAGAGUAGGGAAACAAGGUGGGGUAGGGGAAGGGGGCACUAAGGAACUGGCUGGACUUCUCUGUCCCUUGAACUGAGAUGAAACAGGCAGAUAGGAGACAACCCUUAGCUAUGUCCUGGGUUCUUCAUAAGAAGGAGGUUGAGGAGGUGUCAUCCCCUAAUAGGCACCCUAUCUCUGGUCCCAACCUCAGCCCCUUACCAAAGGUCACUCUGCUUCUGUCCUCUCAAAGUCCUUACCUUUGCACGUCUUCCUGUCUGGCUGCAGCAUGAA